UACGUAGGAGGCAAGCGUUGUCCGGAAUUACUGGGCGUAAAGCGCGUGUAGGUGGUGGGACAAGUCUGCUGUGAAAGCGCCUGGCUUAACCGGGCGAGGUCGGCGGAAACUGUCGCACUCGAGGACGGUAGAGGGGGGUGGAAUUCCCGGUGUAGUGGUGAAAUGCGUAGAUAUCGGUAGGAACACCAGUGGCGAAGGCGGUCUCCUGGGGCAUUCUUGACGCUGAGGCGCGAAAGCUGGGGGAGCAAACGGG
rnacentral:rRNA from 1 species